GUUUGCAUAUCCUUUGUAUGUGAGCCAUAGACAUCACCAGGUGUGAGUUUCUCUAGCUCCUGCUUGUUUCAGGGGCUAAUUGCCUCAGGUUUCUCCUCAGCUUGUGGUUUCAGGUCAAGUGAAUGACUUGAGGACCUCACAAGCAUAUGUACAGUGGCUACACUGCAAGAUGCACAACUCUAAAAACAGGAUUACAGUCUGCUAAGAAGCACCUGCACUGUUCAGUCAAAAAGCCAGCAGAGCUCUGGAAAAAACCUGUUGUGGACAGCUGAGACCAAGACUGACUUGCAUCAGAGUGAUGGCAAGAGCAAAGUGCGGUGUCUAAAAGGAAUGGCUCGACAACCAAAGCAGCCCACACCGAUCUGUGAAACAUGGUGGCGGGGGUGUCAUAGGUGCUGGCUCACGUGCCUUUGUCAAUAAUGUAACAGCUGGUAGCAGCAACAGAGUUAAAUCUGAAGUGUACUGGAACAUUUUCUCUGCUCAAGUUCAAUCGAAUGACAAAAUUGGACGGUGCUUCAUCCCACAGCAAGGCAAUGAUCCCAAACAUACACCAGUGCUCUCUUCCUUCUUAAUGAUGAUGUUCCAAUUAGUUUGUUUUUCGGGAAGGCAAUUGUUUGCCCCAUGAUGGGUCAACCUCAUAAUGGCUACCUUGACUGUCAUUGGCCAAAUUCUGGUCCUCAUGUUGACAAACGCCAAAGGCUCCAAAGGCAAUCAAAAGCCUAGAAUCAAGACAAGAUUAGACACUGAAAGCUUUCUUUUCCCUGCACCGAGUAAGUGAGUGAAUACACCCGACAAAUCAGAAACAACUGAGAAGCCAACUGUCCAAUUGCUUGUGGUCCCCUAAAAUGAAGGGACUAUGAAUAAAAACGGUUGUAAUUCA